rnacentral:rRNA from 1 species
CUACGGGAGGCAGCAGUGAGGAAUAUUGCACAAUGGGGGGAACCCUGAUGCAGCAACGCCGCGUGGAGGAUGACGCAUUUCGGUGUGUAAACUCCUUUUAUAUGUCAAGAAAAUGACGGUAGCAUAUGAAUAAGCACCGGCUAACUCCGUGCCAGCAGCCGCGGUAAUACGGAGGGUGCAAGCGUUACUCGGAAUCACUUGGCGUAAAGGACGCGUAGGCGGGUUGGAAAGUCAGGUGUGAAAUCCUACAGCUUAACUGUAGAACUGCACUUGAAACUUCUAAUCUAGAGUAUGGGAGGGGGAGAUGGAAUUAGUGGUGUAGGGGUAAAAUCCGUAGAUAUCACCAGGAAUACCUAAAGCGAAGGCGAUCUCCUGGAACAUUACUGACGCUAAGGCGUGAAAGCGUGGGGAGCAAACAGGAUUAGAUACCCGUGUAGUC